UAUGAGUUUUAUUCUAGCUUGGAUAAUUUAUUAUGACAUUAAUUUAUAUAUAAGUAUUUGCGUGAAUUAUUAAUCUUGAUGAUAAUUUAUAUUGUAAUAUUUUGGAUUGGUUUAUGAAAGAUGUUUUGAGUUAGUAAUUGUCUAUAAGUAUUGAUUAAGAAUGUGCCAGCAGUCGCGGUUAGACAUAAAAUAUAAGUAAAUUUUAUUGGUUGUGUAGUUUAUAUUUAUAUAUAUAUAUAAGGAGUACUUAAUUGUUAGGUGGAAUUAAUAUUUAGGUGAAAUAUGUUAAUAUAAUUGGUAUGAUGCUAUGAAAUCAUUUAAUAAACUAGGAUUAGAUACCCUAUUAUUUAUGAUUUAAAAAUGAAAAGAUUGAAGUAGUAGUAGUUAUGGGCUUGAAACUUAAAGAAUUUGGCGGUAUUUUAGUCUGUUUAGAGGAAUCUGUUCAGUAAUUGAUAGUCCGCGUUGAACCUUACUUAUUUUAUAUAUGUAUACCGUCGUUGUUAAGAAUCUUUUUAGAGAUAUUUUUUUUUAUUUAAUUAAAUAAAAUUUCAGAUCAAGGUGCAGUUUAUGAAUGAGUUGAAAUGGAUUACAUUGUUAUAAAUAUGUGGAUUUAUUGUUGUAAUAUGAUAAUAAAAAUGGAUUUAAUAGUAAUUAUUUGAAGAUUGUUAUUGUGAAACUAGCUCUAAUGUAUGUACACAUCGCCCGUCACUCUCGUUAUUAAGAUGAGAUAAGUCGUAACAUAGUAGGUGUACCGGAAGGUGUAGCUAGAUUGAUAUUAA
rnacentral:ncRNA from 1 species